rnacentral:rRNA from 1 species
UGACAAUGCGACGCCGCGUGUGUGAUGAAGGCCUUCGGGUUGUAAAGCCCUGUCACCUGGGAAGAAUGGCGGAGGGUGAAUAGCCACUUCGCUUGACGCUACCAGGAGAGGAAGCACCGGCUAAAUACGUGCCAGCAGCCGCGGUAAUACGUAUGGUGCGAACGUUGUUCGGAAUUACUGGGCAUAAAGAGCACGUAGGCGGUUGGGCAAGUCCAUUGUGAAAUCCCCACGGCUCAACCGGGGAACUGCAGUGGAUACUACUCGACUUGAGUGCAGGAGGGGAGAGUGGAAUUCCAGGUGGAGCGGUGAAAUGCGUAGAUAUCUGGAGGAACGCCGGUGGCGAAAGCGACUCUCUGGUCUGCAACUGACGCUGAGGUGCGAAAGCUAGGGGAGCAAACGGGAUUAGAUACCCCGGUAGUCCUAGCCCUAAACGAU